GAGCAAGCUGAUGUUCUUCAAGCUCCCAUAACCUUCCACAGAAUAGAGGGAAGCAUUAACUCUGGGCAGCUAAGAAUACAGCUUUUAAUUAUAUCUUCCCUGUGUUUACAUGAACUUUAGUUUGCAUUUCAGAAGCCUUAUGGAAGGAUUCCUGUGGCUGACCCAGGAGUAGUGGGGAAUUUCUCCAUCAAGUUCUCUCAGACCCAUGGCUGUUGGUGGGAGGCCUCAGCUCCCGUCACUGUGAUUCUCCACAUAGCAGCUCAAGUGACCUCACAACACAGCGCUGGUCUCCCCCAGAGCAAAUGACCCAAGGGGCCAGAAUUAUGCAGGAUGAGACAAAGCUAGAGAAAUUGUACUCUUCAAGAGGAAAAGAGAUGGCCCUGCCAGCAGAACCAAGUGAAAUCAACUCUCACCUCAAAUAAUCUGGACUGAAGGAGCAAUUUCUUUUUAGGACCUGCCAUUCUUUUGGUGAACAGAAUAAAUACAUACAUACAAAGAACUAAGGCACUCAAAGCUUUCAAAACUUGGACAUAGUGUGUUUCACAUCUGCUCACUUCCCAUUGGCCAAUACAUGUCACAUGUCCCUGAUAUCAAGGGAAUUGGGAUGCAUGCUUCUCCGGUAAAAUAGUGCUUCAAGUCACGUGCCGAGAGAGAGGGUAGAAAGCAACUGAAAAUGAUGUCACAGUUUACUACUGUAACUCUUGCCUGUUGUUCCAGUAAGAUGAGAUCAACACGUACUGAACUCAUCCAGGUGCUGGGGAUUCUGUAAGGAGCAAAACUAUCCUUGAAUCAGUGAAACAUGUUCAGAUUCUCACUUUCCUAUUUGACUACUCUUCUGAUUUUAUAUUGAAAUUAAAAGGAAU
ensembl:lncRNA